UGCCUACCUGCAGUCGAACGGAGAAUCAGCAAUGAUUCUUAGUGGCGAACGGGUGAGUAACGCGUAGACAACCUGCCUUCUAGAUGGGGACAACACUGCGAAAGUGGUGCUAAUACCGAAUGUUGCAUUAAGCCUGCAUGGGCUUGAUACUAAAGGUGGCUUCUAUUUAUAAGCUAUCACUAGAAGAUGGGUCUGCGUCUGAUUAGCUAGUUGGUGAGGUAAUGGCUCACCAAGGCGAUGAUCAGUAGCCGGUCUGAGAGGAUGAACGGCCACACUGGGACUGAGACACGGCCCAGACUCCUACGGGAGGCAGCAGUGGGGAAUCUUCCGCAAUGGACGAAAGUCUGACGGAGCAACGCCGCGUGAGUGAAGAAGGUUUUCGGAUCGUAAAGCUCUGUCUUUGAGGACGAAUGUGUCUAAUGUGAAUAAUGUUAGAUAAUGACGGUACUCGAGGAGGAAGCCACGGCUAACUACGUGCCAGCAGCCGCGGUAAUACGUAGGUGGCAAGCGUUGUCCGGAAUUAUUGGGCGUAAAGCGCGCGCAGGCGGGAUAUUAAGUCUGUUUUAAAAGUUCGGGGCUCAACCCCGUGAUGGAAUGGAAACUAAUAUUCUUGAGUGCAGGAGAGGAAAGUGGAAUUCCCAGUGUAGCGGUGAAAUGCGUAGAUAUUGGGAGGAACACCAGUGGCGAAGGCGACUUUCUGGACUGUGUCUGACGCUGAGGCGCGAAAGCCAGGGGAGUGAACGGGAUUAGAUACCCCGGUAAUCCUGGGCCGUAAACGAUGGGUACUAGUGUAGGAGUAUCGACCCCU
rnacentral:rRNA from 1 species